GUAUCCGUAGCUCAGCGGCAAGAGCACUAAGACUUUUAGUCUUAGAGGUCCCAGGUUCAAUUCCUGGUGGGUGCA